rnacentral:misc_RNA from 1 species
UUUCCGUAGGUGAACCUGCGGAAGGAUCAUUAUUGUAUAACCGAGGUGCGAGGGCUGUCGCUGACCCGAAAGGUCGUGCACGCCCGAGUGCCCUCACACACAUCCAUCUCACCCCUAUGUGCACCACCGCGUGGGUCCCCCUUUGGCUUGUUCGGAGGGGGGCUUACGUUUUCACACAAACUUUGUAUGCAGUGUAGAAUGUAUUUUUUGUUUUUGCGAUCACGCAAUCAAUACAACUUUCAACAACGGAUCUCUUGGCUCUCGCAUCGACGAAGAACGCAGC